UACGGAGGAUGCGAGCGUUAUCCGGAUUUAUUGGGUUUAAAGGGUGCGUAGGCGGAUUAAUAAGUCAGCGGUGAAAUCUCGGAGCUUAACUCUGAAACUGCCGUUGAAACUGUUAGUCUUGAGUGUGAACGAGGUAGGCGGAAUUCGUGGUGUAGCGGUGAAAUGCAUAGAUAUCACGAAGAACUCCGAUAGCGCAGGCAGCUUACCAGGCCACAACUGACGCUGAGGCACGAAAGUGUGGGUAUCAAACAGG
rnacentral:rRNA from 1 species